AAUUAUGUAAAAGUUGGGGGUUCAUUUGCAAAAACAAUUAGCUGAGUAAUAAUAAUCUCCUAUCUCACUGACUCACCCGAAGACCAAAAGCACCGGAGUGAAAAUGGCGUCGUACACAGUAGUAUCCUUUAUCCCUCUGACGGUCUCUAAUCCUCGGAUCUUUGUUACGAGACAGAAUGGAUCUUCCUCGUCUUCUUCUCGGAUUCCCCUUACGUCUUCUCUGUCAGGUAAGAAGCUUGUGGCGACACAACCGUCGCAUCGCUGCUUUGUCCCCAAGCUCCGGUGCUUGACCUCGGCUAGCACGGUCUUAAAUGUUCCAACUGCGCAACCGGAGAAUGGUUCUUCAGAUAAGAUCCCAAAAUGGUCGGCGAGAGCUAUAAAGUCACUUGCAAUGGGAGAAUUGGAGGCUAGGAAGCUCAAGUAUCCAAGUACCGGGACCGAAGCCAUUCUCAUGGGUAUUUUAGUCGAAGGCACUAGCACAGUUGCUAAGUUCCUGAGGGGUAAUGGAGUUACGCUUUUUAAGGUGCGAGAUGAGACGAUAAGCCUGCUGGGGAAAUCAGACAUGUAUUUUUUCAGUCCAGAGCAUCCUCCUCUUACUGAACCGGCUCAAAAGGCCAUUGCCUGGGCCAUUGAUGAGAAGAAUAAAUCUGGUGUGGAUGGUGAACUAACCACGGCCUACUUGCUUCUGGGGAUUUGGUCUCAAAGGGAUUCAGCAGGCCGCCAGAUUUUGGAGAAGCUCGGGUUCAACGAAGAUAAAGCCAAAGAAGUUGAGAAAUCGAUGAAUGAAGAUGUAGAUUUGAGCUUCAAGAAGCAAGGUCAAUAGAAUGAAGAUGUUGAUUUGAGCUUCAAGAAGCAAGGUCAAUAGUGCUGAGGUUAAUUUCAAUCAGCAAGCUUCUGUAACUGUAUAAGGAGUCUUGCUUAAAGACUCAGCAAAAGGACCCCUUUCUUGAAGGAAUCACUUGAUCGAACUAGACAUUUGCAGGCCUUCAUUAGCAUUCACUUUCAAUACUUGUUUGUGAGUGCUUAUUGACACCUUGGUGUCUUCAUAUGGAUGCUGGGUUAGGUAGGUACUUUCUUAGGCUAAAGUUCGAUUGUUAUCUAAGGGAAUGAAACAGAGCUGAUAAAAAACUUGCAGAA